rnacentral:rRNA from 1 species
GACGAACGCUGGCGGCGUGCUUAACACAUGCAAGUCGAACGGAAAGGUCCUGCCUUUGUGGGGUGCUCGAGUGGCGAACGGGUGAGUAACCCGUGAGUAACCUGCCCUUUACCUUGGCAUACCUUCAGGAAACUGGGGCUAAUACCGGAUAGGAGCUCCCGCUGCAUGGUGGGGGUUGGAAAGUUUCGGUGGUUGGGGAUGGACUGGCGGGUUAUCGGCUUGUUGGUCGGGUAGUGGCUUACCAAGGCUUUGACGGGUAGCCGGCCUGAGAGGGUGACCGGCCACAUGGGGACUGAGAUACGGCCCAGAAGCCUAUGGGAGGCAGCAGUGGAGAAUAUUGCACAAUGGGCGGAAGCCUGAUGCAGCAACGCCGCGUGCGGGAUGACGGCCUUCGGGUGGUAAACCGCUUUCGCCUGUGACGAAGCGUGAGUGACGGUAAUGGGUAAAGAAGCACCGGCUAACUACGUG